rnacentral:rRNA from 1 species
AGGUGGAGUUACCCGCUGAACUUAAGCAUAUCAAUAAGCGGAGGAAAAGAAACUAACAAGGAUUCCCCUAGUAACGGCGAGUGAAGAGGGAUCAGCCCAAAUUUGUAAUCUGGCUCUUCCAGAGUCUGAGUUGUAAUUUUAAGAACUGUUUUCUGCUUUGGACCAUGUACAAGUCUGUUGAAAUGCAGCAUCAUUGAGGGUGAGAAUCCUGUUCAUGAUAUGGACUACCAAGGCUUUAUGAUACAGUCUCCAAGAGUCGAGUUGUUUGGGAAUGCAGCUCAAAGUGGGUGGUAAAUUCCAUCUAAGGCUAAAUAUUGGUGAGAGACCGAUAGCAAACAAGUACCGUGAGGGAAAGAUGAAAAGAACUUUGGAAAGAGAGUUAACAGUACGUGAAAUUGUUAAAAGGGAAACAGUUGAAGUUAGACUUGUUGUUGUUGGUUCAGCUCUUUAAGGGUGUUUUCUGAUGAUUAACAAACCAACAUCAAUUUUUGGGUGUUGGAUAAGGGUCAUUGAAAUGUAGCAGUUUUGGCUGUGUUAUAGUCUUUGACUUGGAUACAAUGCCUGGGAUUGAGGAAUGCAGUAAGCCAUUUAUUUGGUGGGACAAUUUAUUGUUCUUCUUACUGAGGAUGUUGGUGCAAUAGC